CAUGAAAAUAAUUUGGAAAUUUUAUGUUUUUCUUAUGCUCUGGAAUAGUUGCAAUACCAUAAGGAUUUUCUAUUUUUUAAGGAUACAGUAGAAUGCCCCUGUGAAGCUAUCUGGGACUGAUACUGUUUGGGAGAUGGUUUUUCUGAUCUUUCAGGAGACAUCUCCCAGCAGGGGUCAACAGACACCUCAUUCAGGAGAGUUCUGGCUGGCAUCUGGAAGGUACCCCUCUGGGAUAAAGCUUUCAGAGGAAGAAACAGGCAUCAAUCUUUGCUGUUCUGCAGCCUCUGCUGGUUAUACCCAGGCAAACAGGGUCUGGAGUGGACCUCCAGCAAACUCCAGCAGACCUGCAGCAGAGGGGCCUGACUGUUAGAAGGAACUCUAACAAACAGGAAGGAAUAUCAUCAGCAUCAACAAAAAGGAUGUCCACAUGGGAGCGUAAAUUAGUUCAACCACUGUGGAAGACAGUGUGGUGAUUCCUCAAGGAUCUAGAAGUAGAAAUACCAUUUCAGGACUCUGAUCCAAGAUGGCCGAUUGCUAACAUCUCAGGAUUGCAGUUCUCAGUGAAAACGCAGAGAACUAGAGGACGCCAGACUUUCAGACAAAUUCUGGUCGCUCACAGAGCAGAAGAUCCCCAGUGGAGGAGUCACACGUGUCGCCAGCGUGACUCUUGUGCCCGGCGCAGCGGUUUUGCUGGCACCUCGGCGCGGCAGCUCUUGGAGCAGAGUAAACAGGGCUGGCUCCCCUUCUGACCAAGGUUUGGAG
rnacentral:lncRNA from 1 species